rnacentral:lncRNA from 1 species
UGCUAAGGCUGUGGAAUAGGCUGGCAGCUGUAGUUCCAAAUCGACCCCUAGCUUGGGAACCUCCAUACAUAGAGGGGCUGGUAGGUUCCUGCCAGGUCCUGCUUGGUUUCGGUAGCUAUAAUUUUAUUGUGUAUUCUAUGUUACUUAAUCCUUGCCUUAUUAAUCAUUACCAGGGACACUGAACAUACUGCCUCUGUUUUUGUAUGUGCGAAAAAAAUUGAGGAUAAGAGAGUUCAAGCAACUUGCCUGGAUGAUACAUCUCAGAAAAGACAGGUGCAAUGUUGUGACUUAAAGGAGAUAUGUAUUUGGUUGUUCAAAUGCACAAAAUAUAUUUCUCAUAUAUAUUUGGUCUUCUUCCAUGGUUCCUAUAUCACAGCUCCCCCUUAGAUUUUCCUGAACAGUGGAAGCAUUUUUUGUUAUAGUAUUUAGACUGUCAUCCUCAGUUCCUGAAAUUACUUCAAAGCCACAAAGAUGAAAUAAAUAUUCUGAUAUUUAUAACAUGCCCUUUUCCUGGGAACCAUGGGGUUGCGGGUUUGAUCCCUGGCCUUGCUCAGUGGGUUGGGGAUCCGGCGUUGCCGUGGGCUGUGGUGUGGUUUGCAGGCGCGGCUUGGAUCCUGCGUUGCUGUGUCUCUGGCGUAGGCCGGCGGCUGCAGCUCCGGUUCGAUCCCUAGCCUGGGGAUCUCCAUGUGUUGUGGGAGCGGCCCAAGAAAUGGCAAAAAGACAAAAAAAAAAAAAAAAAAAUUGCAAUUGUAAUUUACACAGCAUAAUAGAAUUAUAGGAUAUUUGGGAGCACGGUAACAAUCCAAGUGAAUUUAAUUCCUCUGUAGCUGGUAUGAGGAUGUGAAAAUAAUAUUUAAAAAUAAAUCUUCUUUGAGAAAAUCAAGUUUUAAGAUAAAACUAAGAAUUACCAAGUUGACCAAAGACUAAAUGGGAAUAGUAUAAAGCACCGUUCGCACAGAAAACAGAACAUUUGAUUCUAUAGUUACUGACUCAACAAAUUAAGGCAGAAGAUAGCAAGAAAAAAAAUAAAUAAAUAACAUGCCCUUUUCCAACACACGUGAAUGUUAAAGAGGUGGCUUUUGGAAAGCACCUUAGGAUUGGCGCUGGUUGCCAGAGGAACCCAACUUGAAUGGAAAUGUGGAAAUCACUCUCCCCUGAUUUCUGGGGAGAGUAAAGGGGCUGAGGUUUGAAUCAAACACCAGCAGUCAGUGAUUUAAUCAAUCAUGUCCAUGUAAGGAAGCCUUUAUAAUAUCCUGGAGGAGGACAUUAGGAUAGAUUCCAGGUUAGUGAGCAGCAACAUUUCCAU